UACGGGGGGGGCAAGCGUUGUUCGGAAUUACUGGGCGUAAAGGGCUCGUAGGUGGCCAACUAAGUCAGACGUGAAAUCCCUCGGCUUAACCGGGGAACUGCGUCUGAUACUGGGAGGCUUGAGUAUGGGAGAGGGAUGUAGAAUUCCAGGUGUAGCGGUGAAAUGCGUAGAUAUCUGGAGGAAUACCGGUGGCGAAGGCGGCAUCCUGGACCAUAACUGACGCUGAGGCGCGAAAGCUAGGGGAGCAAACGGG
rnacentral:rRNA from 1 species